AUUGAACGCUGGCGGCAGGCCUAACACAUGCAAGUCGAACGAGUGGCGGACGGGUGAGUAAUGUCUGGGAAACUGCCCGAUGGAGGGGGAUAACUAGUCGAAAGAUUAGCUAAUACCGCAUACUAUAGGAGCGGCCGAUGUCUGAUUAGCUAGUUGGUGGGGUACAGGCCCACCAAGGCGACGAUCAGUAGCUGGUCUGAGAGGACGAUCAGCCACACUGGAACUGAGAAACGGUCCAGACUCCUACGGGAGGCAGCAGGGGUGAAUAUUGAACAAUGGCCGCAAGCCUGAUGCAGCCAUGCCGCGUGUAUGAAGAAGGCCUUCGGGUUUUAAAGUCCUUUCAGCGGGGAGGCGUUACCCGCAGAAGAAGCACCGGCUAACUCCGUGCCAACAGCCGCGGUAAUUC
rnacentral:rRNA from 1 species